rnacentral:rRNA from 1 species
AACGCGAAGAACCUUACCUGGGUUUGACAUGGAGAGUAAACCGUCAGAGAGGGCGGCUCAUUUAGUUGGCUCUCACACAGGUGGUGCAUGGCUGUUGUCAGCUCGUGUCGUGAGAUGUUGGGUUAAGUCCCGCAACGAGCGCAACCCUCGUCCUAUGUUGCCAGCGGGUAAUGCCGGGGACUCAUAGGAGACUGCCGGGGUCAACUCGGAGGAAGGUGGGGAUGACGUCAAGUCAUCAUGCCCCUUAUGUCCAGGGCUGCACACAUGCUACAAUGGCCGGUACAGAGGGGUGCAAUACCGCAAGGUGGAGGUAAUCCCACAAAACCCGUUUCAGUUCGGAUUGGGGUCUGCAACUCGACCCCAUGAAGUCGGAGUCGCUAGUAAUCGUAGAUCACCAACGCUACGGCGAAUACGUUCCCGGGUCUUGUACACACCG